rnacentral:rRNA from 1 species
AGCAGCCGCGGUAAUUCCAGCUCCAAUAGCGUAUAUUAAAGUUGUUGCAGUUAAAAAGCUCGUGGUUGAAUUUCGGGGUUAGUAGGUUGGUCAUGCCUCUGGUAUGUACUGGUCUCACUGAUUCCUCCUUCCUGAUGAACCUUAAUGCCAUUAAUUUGGUGUUUUGGGGAAUUUGGACUGUUACUUUGAAAAAAUUGAGUGUUUAAAGCAAGCUAACGCUUGAAUACAUUAGCAUGGAAUAAUGAAAUAGGACGUUCGAUCCUAUUUUGUUGGUUUCUAGGAUUGACGUAAUGAUUAAUAGGGAUAGUUGGGGGCAUUAGUAUUCAAUUGUCAGAGGUGAAAUUCUUGGAUUUAUUGAAGACUAACUACUGCGAAAGCAAUUUGCCAAGGAUGUUUUCAUUAAUCAAGAACGAAGUUAGGGAUCGAAGACGAUCAGAUACCGUCGUAGUCUUAACCAUAAACUAUGCCGACUAGGGAUCGGAUGAUGUUAAUUUUUAUGACUUCAUUCGGCGCCUUACGG